GGGGAUUAGUGGCGAACGGGUGAGUAACACGUGGGCAAUCUGCCCUUCACUCUGGGACAAGCCCUGGAAACGGGGUCUAAUACCGGAUAUCACUUCCACUCGCAUGGGUGGGGGUUGAAAGCUCCGGCGGUGAAGGAUGAGCCCGCGGCCUAUCAGCUUGUUGGUGAGGUAAUGGCUCACCAAGGCGACGACGGGUAGCCGGCCUGAGAGGGCGACCGGCCACACUGGGACUGAGACACGGCCCAGACUCCUACGGGAGGCAGCAGUGGGGAAUAUUGCACAAUGGGCGAAAGCCUGAUGCAGCGACGCCGCGUGAGGGAUGACGGCCUUCGGGUUGUAAACCUCUUUCAGCAGGGAAGAAGCGAAAGUGACGGUACCUGCAGAAGAAGCGCCGGCUAACUACGUGCCAGCAGCCGCGGUAAUACGUAGGGCGCAAGCGUUGUCCGGAAUUAUUGGGCGUAAAGAGCUCGUAGGCGGCUUGUCACGUCGGGUGUGAAAGCCCGGGGCUUAACCCCGGGUCUGCAUUCGAUACGGGCUAGCUAGAGUGUGGUAGGGGAGAUCGGAAUUCCUGGUGUAGCGGUGAAAUGCGCAGAUAUCAGGAGGAACACCGGUGGCGAAGGCGGAUCUCUGGGCCAUUACUGACGCUGAGGAGCGAAAGCGUGGGGAGCGAACAGGAUUAGAUACCCUGGUAGUCCACGCCGUAAACGGUGGGAACUAGGUGUUGGCGACAUUCCACGUCGUCGGUGCCGCAGCUAACGCAUUAAGUUCCCCGCCUGGGGAGUACGGCCGCAAAGGCUAAAACUCAAGGGAAUUGACGGGGGCCCGCACAAGCAGCGGGAGCAUGUGGCUUAAUUCGACGCAACGCGAAGAACCCUUACCCAAGGCUUGACAUACACCGGAAACGGCCAGAGAUGGUCGCCCCCUCCUGUGGUCGUUGUACAGGUGGUGCAUGGCCUGUC
rnacentral:rRNA from 1 species